GAUGAACGCUGGCGGCGUGCCUAAUACAUGCAAGUCGAGCGAACAGAUGAGGAGCUUGCUCCUCUGACGUUGGCGGCGGACGGGUGAGUAACACGUGGAUAACCUACCUAUAAGACUGGGAUAACUUCGGGAAACCGGAGCUAAUACCGGAUAAUAUAUUGAACCGCAUGGUUCAAUAGUGAAAGACGGUUUUGCUGUCACUUAUAGAUGGAUCCGCGCCGCAUUAGCUAGUUGGUAAGGUAACGGCUUACCAAGGCAACGAUGCGUAGCCGACCUGAGAGGGUGAUCGGCCACACUGGAACUGAGACACGGUCCAGACUCCUACGGGAGGCAGCAGUAGGGAAUCUUCCGCAAUGGGCGAAAGCCUGACGGAGCAACGCCGCGUGAGUGAUGAAGGUCUUCGGAUCGUAAAACUCUGUUAUUAGGGAAGAACAUAUGUGUAAGUAACUAUGCACGUCUUGACGGUACCUAAUCAGAAAGCCACGGCUAACUACGUG
rnacentral:rRNA from 1 species